rnacentral:rRNA from 1 species
AUUGAACGCUGGCGGCAGGCUUAACACAUGCAAGUCGAGCGAGCGGCGGACGGGUGAGUAAUGUCUGGGAAACUGCCGGAUGGAGGGGGAUAACUACUGGAAACGGUAGCAAAUACCGCAUACCAUCAGAUGUGCACAGAUGGGAUUAGCUAGUAGGUGGGGUAAUGGCUCACCUAGGCGACGAGCCCUAGCUGGUCUGAGAGGAUGACCAGCAACACUGGAACUGAGACACGGUCCAGACUCCGACGGGAGGCAGCAGUGGGGAAUAUUGCACAAUGGGCGCAAGCCUGAUGCAGCAAUGCCGCGUGAGUGAUGAAGGCCUUCGGGUUGUGAAGAUCUGUGAGCGAGGGUGCGUUACCAGCAGAAGAAGCACCGGCUAACGCCGCGCCAGCCGCCGCGGUAAUAC